AUGGAGAAACAACCGAGCAGCUGGCGGGGGAGCAACGGCGGCCACGAGGAGAGGCUGCCCCUGCGCGGCGGCGGCGGAGGCCUGGAGACGGAGGCAAGGGCGCCGCACCCCCACGCCCACGCCGCGGAUCAGCAGGAGGCGGGGCGGGGCAGGCACCGGCGCAAGUGCCUGCGCGCCGCGCUGCUGCUCUGCCUGCUCACGCUCCCGGCCUGCGUCCUCGUCGUCGGGAACCUGCGGGCCGAAUCCUCGCCGCGGAUGCUCUUCGACGUCGACGACCUCCCAAAGUACGACGACGACGACCAAGCUACGUGGGCCAGCCCGGGCAGGAGUGUCGGCUCGUUGUCGGACGCCUCCUCCAUCGCCGGGUCGUCGUCACUCACCUAUGGCAAGCUCGCUGGCAAGCCGACUUCUAUCCGUCGUGCACGACGGGCCAGCCAGCCAGUCAGCUCAUGUUUAUACUCCGUCGAGACGCUCUCCCACAUCACUCUUGAGCUCGCAGUCAUGGCGGUGGUGAUGCAUGGAGGAAUGGAAGCGGGCGCAGUGUGGUGCGGAUUGUGUCCGGCGUGGCCACAUACAAAUAACAGGCACCAGUUAGGCCACACGGGUUUCCCCGGUACGCGGCUGGCAGUGGGGAAGGGGUAUCACCGACCCCUCUCAGGAGGGUUCGGCAACGCCCACGGGCGCAGCCGCGCCGGAGGCGAACGAGCCGCCAAAGAUAUCUCCCGCCCCGAAACCACCACCGCCACCCUAGACAAUCAGAAGCGCACCGCCCCACAUGCCGCCCACCAGCCUAUGCUACCACGAAUACCGCACCAUCUUCACCGUCUUACUGAGGCCACCAACACGAGACCUGGAGGAAACAACCUCAACCGCUGCGCGGAGCCGACCGAACGUAGCUACAGGGACCUGCCAGGCCACCAUUGGCCCGACAGGACCCCAAUGGGUCCGGACAGUCCCUGCAGCCACAUUGCAGCACGCCGGCCGCCGGAGCCGUCACCACCGCAGCCACAACCGCCUCGCCUCACCAUCAGGGAGCCACAUCGUUGCGCCCCAGACCGCAGGCCCACCCCAGCCCAGAUGGGGCCCGAAAGGGCCCAGAUCUGGGCCGAGCGGGCGCCGCCGGCUAACCGCCCACCGCGUCGCCCCACAGCCAACGACCACGUCGCUGCGUCGAGGGCACCCGAGGCCCAUGGAACUCCGCCACCGGGCCCCACUGCCACCAGCCAAAUAGCACCACCGCCGGGUAGGAGGGAGCCCCGAACCCACUCCAAGCGCGCGGGAAAGGGACGUCCGCCAGCGCCGGCGCCACCCGGGCUCGUCGGAGGCCGCUGCCGACGGCAACGAAGGGAGAUGGAGGAGGAGGGGGAUCGAGACGGGGAGGAGAGCAGGGGGCGCUCCGCCGCCUCGGGGGGCGACGGGAGCGUCGGUGGAGGGGGAGGAGGAGGGGGGAGAGGGAGGUGGGCCGGGGGGCGCGUGACGGCGGCCGGCGCCGGCGGGAGGGAGCGAGGGUGGCCGACGAUAAUCGUCACGCCCCGUCCAUCCUGCCCGAUCACAUCCAUCCGGCAUUGUACAUGCAUGGAGACCGGGACGCAGUGCUGGUGGCGUUCUCAUUUGGCGCGCCACUUCAAUGCAGGUUCCCGUGACCGGUCGCAUACACUCUCGGCUGGCAUGAAUGCGGGUGUCGACCAUCCAACCAUAGUCAUCAAGACCAUAAGGAUCAAGAGGAAAAAAAGAUGGACGCGUGGAUCCCGGAAAAUGCCAAUGGAGGCCGAGCAUCAGGCAGGCCACUAUCUCGGCCAUCCCACUACCACGGGGAUCCGUGCUGCCAGAGUAUUUGCCCUGUAUUCGGUUUAUUUUUGUGCUGUAUUGAGCCAGGGAGGUCCCACCCACGUGCAAAGGCAUCUAGGCUUCGAGUGUGUCCCUGACAUGUACGCACGACAUGGCGAGCACAGACCUGUACGUUCUGCUGCAUGCGCAGUCCGCGGGGAACCUAUACGUUGCAUGCAUACCGUGGAGCAUUGGUGGCCAGCGGACACCACCAGUUCUUCAAGCGCGGACGUGGAGUAUUAUUGGCCAUCCUUCAUUAAGCUAGGUACUUCUGUUUGCUUGAGGUCUGUUCCUCAAGAAAUUACUACUAAGCCUCUAUGGCUUGCCGGUGUCCUGAGGGCAUCGGCCCCAGCGGUCCGAAUCAACGUCUCCUCCAGAUCAUGGCUCGUCAGCGUCGUCGUGUCCCCUUAUCAACCCCCUUCGCCCCGCCGCCUCCCCAACCCCAGUCACCUCGCUGCCCUGUCCCUCGUCAUGUCCAAGAUUGCUCAGACACAUGCCAUAGAGAAAUCUCUACUCGGCUUGCCAGUUCUGGAAGCAUCGUCGCUGGCGAGUGUAGUCCCCUCCUUGGAGCAUUGUCAUGGCAUCUCUCUGCGCCCUUCUUCGAGAACCACGGGAAGCCCUACCCUGGGGUCUGAUUCUUCGAAUCAGAUGGCGAUGGUGUCACGACCUCGUUUUUCUUCCUGA
rnacentral:rRNA from 1 species